UACGAGGGGGGCAAAUGUUGUUCGGAAUCACUGGGCGUAAAGGGAGCGUAGGCGGGCUCUUAAGUUAGGUGUUUAAUCCCGGGGCCCAACCCCGGUCGUGCACUUAAAACUGGGAGUCUUGAAUAGUGGAGAGGUCAGUGGAAUUGGGGGUGUAGCGGUGGAAUGCGUAGAGAUCCCCAAGAACACCAGUUGCGAAGGCGGCUGACUGGACACAUAUUGACGCUGAGGCUCGAAAGCCAGGGGAGCAAACGGG
rnacentral:rRNA from 1 species